ACGAACUCCAGAAGAUGCAGGAGAAAAGAGACACCGAGUUCCAGGAGGUGAGAAAGUGGACCUCAUGCCAGCCCGUCUUUACUUCCUGGAUGUGGCAAACAGGUGGGCUACUGCCCUGAGUCACCGACAUUCUCUGGGAGGAGCAGAUUAAAUAAACAAGAUGGGCCCUGGCUUUCUCUAUGGAGAAGAGUUAAGGAUUCUGUCUUCUCGUGAGUUGUGAACAGGUCCAUGUACUUACUACUUGAACAGAAUCCUAACCUGUUUCCUGGCUUUAAGUCUUAAGCAAAGUUCUCUUAACAUUUUUUGAUUUUGAUUUAUUA